rnacentral:rRNA from 1 species
UUGACCUCGGAUCAGGUAGGAAUACCCGCUGAACUUAAGCAUAUCAAUAAGCGGAGGAAAAGAAACCAACAGGGAUUGCCUCAGUAACGGCGAGUGAAGCGGCAACAGCUCAAAUUUGAAAUCUGGCUUCGGCCCGAGUUGUAAUUUGUAGAGGAUGCUUUUGGCGCGGCGCCUUCCAAGUUCCCUAGGACGGGACGCCAUAGAGGGUGAGAGCCCCGUAUGGUCGGAUGCUAAGCCUUUGUAAAGCUCCUUCGACGAGUCGAGUAGUUUGGGAAUGCUGCUCAAAAUGGGAGGUAUAUUUCUUCUAAAGCUAAAUACCGGCCAGAGACCGAUAGCGCACAAGUAGAGUGAUCGAAAGAUGAAAAGCACUUUGAAAAGAGGGUUAAAUAGCACGUGAAAUUGUUGAAAGGGAAGCGCCCGUGACCAGACUUGCACCUUGUGAAUCAUCCAGCGUUCUCGCUGGUGCACUUCACUUGGUUCAGGCCAGCAUCGGUUUUCGCUGCGGGAUAAAAGCUCUAGGAAUGUGGCUCCCCCGGGAGUGUUAUAGCCUAGUGUAUAAUGCCGCUGCGGAGACCGAGGUUCGCGCUCUGCAAGGAUGCUGGCAUAAUGGUUACCGGCGACCCGUCUUGAAACACGGACCAAGGAGUGAAUGUCUUCAGCGAGUGUUUGGGUGUAAAACCCGCACGCGUAAUGAAAGUGAAUGCAGGUGAGAGCUUCGGCGCAUCAUCGACCGAUCCUGAUGUUCUCGGAUGGAUUUGAGUAAGAGCUUAAGGCAUUCGACCCGAAAGAUGGUGAACUAUGCUUGUAUAGGGUGAAGCCAGAGGAAACUCUGGUGGAGGCUCGCAGCGGUUCUGACGUGCAAAUCGAUCGUCAAAUAUGAGCAUGGGGGCGAAAGACUAAUCGAACCAUCUAGUAGCUGGUUACCGCCGAAGUUUCCCUCAGGAUAGCAGUGUUGUUCUUCAGUUUUAUGAGGUAAAGCGAAUGAUUAGGGACUCGGGGGCGCUUUUUAGCCUUCAUCCAUUCUCAAACUUUAAAUAUGUAAGAAGCCCUUGUUACUUAAUUGAACGUGGGCAUUCGAAUGUACCAACACUAGUGGGCCAUUUUUGGUAAGCAGAACUGGCGAUGCGGGAUGAACCGAACGCGGGGUUAAGGUGCCAGAGUGGACGCUCAUCAGACACCACAAAAGGCGUUAGUACAUCUUGACAGCAGGACGGUGGCCAUGGAAGUCGGAAUCCGCUAAGGACUGUGUAACAACUCACCUGCCGAAUGUACUAGCCCUGAAAAUGGAUGGCGCUCAAGCGUCCCACCCAUACCCCGCCCUCAGGGUAGAAACGAUGCCCUGAGGAGUAGGCGGCCGUGGAGAUCGUGACGAAGCCUAGGGCGUGAGCCCGGGUCGAACGGUCUCUAGUGCAGAUCUUGGUGGUAGUAGCAAAUACUUCAAUGAGAACUUGAAGGACCGAAGUGGGGAAAGGUUCCAUGUGAACAGCGGUUGGACAUGGGUUAGUCGAUCCUAAGCUAUAGGGAAGUUCCGUUUCAAAGGGGCACUUGUGCCCCGUGUAGCGAAAGGGAAGCCGGUUAAUAUUCCGGCACCUGGAUGUGGGUUUUGCGCGGCAACGCAACUGAACGCGGAGACGACGGCGGGGGCCCCGGGCAGAGUUCUCUUUUCUUCUUAACGGUCUGUCACCCUGAAAACAGUUUGUCUGGAGAUAGGGUCUAAUGGCCGGAAGAGCCCAGCACCUCUGUUGGGUCCGGUGCGCUCUCGACGUCCCUUGAAAAUCCGCGGGAGGGAAUA